GAAAGCCGUAUGCUUUGGAAGAAGCUUGUACAGUUUGGGAAGGGGUUUUUAUUGAUAAAAAAGAAGGCGUUAAGAGACCCUCC
rnacentral:ncRNA from 1 species